rnacentral:rRNA from 1 species
GACGAACGCUGGCGGCGUGCUUAACACAUGCAAGUCGAACGGAAGGGCCCUGCUUUUGUGGGGUGCUCGAUUGGCGAACGGGUGAGUAACACGUGAGUAACCUGCCCUUGACUUUGGGAUAACUUCAGGAAACUGGGGCUAAUACCGGAUAGGAGCUCCUGCUGCAUGGGGGGGGAUGGAAAGAUUCGGCGGUUGGGGAUGGACUCGCGGCUUAUCAGCUUGUUGGUGGGGUAGUGGCUUACCAAGGCUUUGACGGGUAGCCGGCCUGAGAGGGUGACCGGCCACAUUGGGACUGAGAUACGGCCCAGACUCCUACGGGAGGCAGCAGUGGGGAAUAUUGCACAAUGGGCGGAAGCCUGAUGCAGCAACGCCGCGUGCGGGAUGACGGCCUUCGGGUUGUAAACCGCUUUCGCCUGUGACGAAGCGUGAGUGACGGUAAUGGGUAAAGAAGCACCGGCUAACUACGUG